ensembl:lncRNA HULC hepatocellular carcinoma up-regulated long non-coding RNA
AGAGACGCUAGGCCGGCACUGCCUAGGUGGGCCGGGCGGUGCGAGGGUCGCCUUUCAGCCUUUACCUCUACCCACUGAAAUGGAGUAGGUCGGUGAGCGCCGAUCUGCUGGAGAAUCUCAUUAUCCCAUCGGCGCUCUGCCUGCUCCUGGCCUCCAAGCCUCUGAAGCCCCUCGGGUUUCAGCUGCCGGCUACCCUCGAGCCCGUGGUGCCCACGAGAGAGGCGACUUUACGUCAGCGGCCCUGGGCUGAGAUUUGAGAACGCGACCAAGUGGAGAAUGUUGGAGCCAGAUUUUAAAAUCCUUGUCUUCCUUCUGCGUGCUACUUGAUCUAAAUGAGAUACGGCAAAGUCACAGAACCUGUUUUUAUGUUUUUGCCUGAUUCAUACGGGCUUCUCCGGUGAAGAUGGGCCUGAAGUAACGCUUGGGUUGCUUCUGACGUUAUAACUCAUCCUGUAGCUGCAGCAACCGUGGUCCUUGCAACCUCAUAAAAAUGUUGCCAGCAUUGUUUCGAUAGUGCUGCUUAAUUCUUGGAAGGCCUCUUUGCUUUCUUCCCUGAGGUUCUUCGGACUUCACACAUUCCAGCAGUAGCUCUCUCAGCUCCUGUCCUGCACAGCUUUGAAGUGCUGCGUCUUCAAAGUGUCUUCUGUAAAGACUUCUUCAGACUGUCAAUAGGAAGACUGAUAAACUCAGGUGUCUUUGUGAAGCUUCCUAUCUUUGCUUUUCAACUAAGAUGAAACAGCAUUUAAAAGAAAAUGCCAUGUGAGAUGAGAUCAGGAGAAUGGAUUCUUUCUUUCAUCUGAAUAGAGAGCUGCUGUUCGAGAUUCUAACUCAAAUAGCUCAAAGGACACCUUCUCCGGGAAACCUUCCCUGACUUCCGACGCUGUUUCCUGUUGCUUUCUGUCUGUGGGUGUUACAUAUUUUUCCCUUCUUCAACUAACCGUGUCUGAGCAGGACAGCUGACCUUCAAAAGUAAAUAUGAUUAAAGCUGAACAAAUCAGAUGCUGAAACAGAAGGACGCAGACUGGCAGCGGCCCACAAACACAUGCCUUUCAUAGUGCAAACUUACUUUUAUGGGAUGUUGAUGUUGUUUUUUAAUGGAUGCUCAAGCUUCGGAUACAUGAACGAAAAUCAUUUUAAAUAAAAACAAAAAGAAAGGGGUUUUUCCAUCUCUACACUACACAUUGGAUUUUCUACACAGAAGCUGUACGUGAAGGAUCAAAGCUCAUUCCUGCAUUCCAGCAAGCAAUUUCUACAAGUGCAUCUACAUUUCUGUGACAAUCCGCUUCUCCUAACCCUUCCCAUCAUCCAGUGAAGUAUUAGCAUGUGAAAAAUUGCAUCUGUCAGAAAUGUAAAAAUAAUCAUGCCCACCUUGGUCUUUUCUAUUUAAUAAUUUGGGCCAUGGAUUGGUAACCUUUGUUUUGCUUACUGUGCAGUCACAAAUUACUUUUAUAGAUCAAGAGAACUUGAACUUUCAAAAGUGCUGUUUUAGCUUAAAAUGUUAUGAUUUAGAUAUUCUGUUUAUAUAUGAAGAAACUAGUGACGAAUAUAGUAAGCAUUUUUUUUCAUUCUUCACUUAAAUUGUUGCCUUAACAUAGGGUUUCUUCUUUUAAAAUAGUAGCAAACUUAUAGAAGACUGUUUAACUGCAUAUGUGGGUACUAUGCAGUCAAUUAGCCAUAGAAGAAAUAAUACAGGACUUCCAAAGUAAUGCCAAUGGUCUAUAAUCUCGUCACGUUACAAUGUCUAUCACUUAAUGUAUGUGGAUUUUAGGGGACUCAUUUGGGAUCUUUAAAUCAUAUUCAAUUCUCUAUUAUGAUACUUGGGAAGUUAAAUAAUCAUGUUGUUUUCCAUUAAACUAGAAAAAGCUAAUGUAUUUUCAAAUAGCAAUGGAAAGGUGACAUGAGAUAAGCCUUUUAGAUUACUAUUGUUUUUCCUAGGUUACUGGCCUAAAAAGAAAUAGAAAGUUUAUACAAAUGUGGAAAGAAUGCCUACCAGAUAAACUAUUGUUCAUAUCUACAGUUUAUUAUUUGAUAAUUUCCAAUUUAACUUAGUCUUUUGACUUAGCUUUUUUUAGUCAUUGCAGGCUUUAAUAUUUGAUAACUGGUUCAGUGUCACAAAAUAGUUUCUUCAUAUAAAAGCAAUUUUAUAUGAUA